GACGAACGCUGGCGGCGUGCUUAACACAUGCAAGUCGAACGGAAACGCCCUACGUUUGUGCUGUUCUCGAGUGCCGAACGCGUGAGUAACACGUGAGUAACCUGCUCUUCUCUUUCGGAUAACUUCACGAAACUAGGCCUAAUACCGUAUAGGAUCUCCUCCUGCAUGGUGGGGGUGGGAAAUUUUCAGCGGUCGCGGAUGGACGCGCGGGUUAUCGGCUUGCUGGUGGGGUAGUGGCUGACCAAGGCUUUGACGGAUACCCAGCAUGGGAGGGUGACCGGCGACAUUGGGCCUGAGGGACGGAGCAGAGUCGUACGGGAGGCAGCAGUGGGGAAUCUUGCACAAUGGGAGGAAGCGUGAUGCAGAAACGUCGGGUGCGGGAUGACGGCCUUCGGGUUGAAAACCGCUUUAGCCUGUGACGAAGCGUUAGUGACGGUAAUGGGUAAAGAAGCACCGGCUAACUACGUG
rnacentral:rRNA from 1 species